rnacentral:rRNA from 1 species
AAUAUUUCACAAUGGAGGAAACUCUGAUGCAGCGACGCCGCGUGAACGAUGAAGGCUNNNGAGUCNUAAAGUUCUGUCCUAGGNGAGNAUAAUGACGGUACCCUAAGAGGAAGCCUCGGCUAACUACGGGGCAGCAGCCGCGGUAAUACGUAGGGGGCAAGCGUUGUCCGGAUUUAUUGGGCGUAAAGGGUUCGCAGGCGGCCUUUUAAGUCAGGUGUGAAAAACUACAGCUCAACUGUGGUAAGCACUUGAAACUGGAAGGCUUGAGUUAAGGAGAGGAAAGUGGAAUUCCUAGUGUAGCGGUGAAAUGCGUAGAUAUUAGGAGGAAUACCAGUGGCGAAGGCGACUUUCUGGACUUAUACUGACGCUGAGGAACGAAAGCGUGGGGAGCAAACAGG